rnacentral:tRNA from 1 species
GUUAACGUAGCACAACCUGGCUAUGCAAAAGACCUAAACUCUUUCUAUAUGGGUUCAAAUCCCCUCGUUAACU